UACGUAGGGGGCCAGCGUUGUUCGGAAUUACUGGGCGUAAAGGGCUCGUAGGCGGCCAACUAAGUCAGACGUGAAAUCCCUCGGCUCAACCGGGGAACUGCAUCUGAUACUGGAUGGCUUGAGAUUGGGAGGGGGAUGCGGAAUUCCAGGUGUAGCGGUGAAAUGCGUAGAUAUCUGGAGGAACACCGGUGGCGAAGGCGGCAUCCUGGACCAACACUGACGCUGAGGAGCGAAAGCCAGGGGAGCAAACGGG
rnacentral:rRNA from 1 species